GAUGAACGCUGGCGGCGUGCCUAAUACAUGCAAGUCGAGCGAACAGACGAGGCGCUUGCUCCUCUGACGUUAGCGGCAGACGGGUGAGUCACACGUGGAUAACCUACCUAUAAGACUGGGAUAACUUCGAAAAACCGGCGCUAAUACCGGAUGAUAUAUUGAACCGCAGGGUGCAAUAGUGAAAGACGGUUUUGCUGUCACUAAUAGAUGCAUCCGGGCCGCAUUAGCUAGUUGGUAAGGUAACGGCUUACCAAGGCAACGAUGCGUAGCCGACCUCAUAGGGUGAUCGGCCACACUAGAACGGGGGCACGCACAAGGCGCCUAAGGUACGCACCAGAAGGCAACCUUACGCAAUGGGCGGAAGCAUGACAGAGCAACGGGACGCGAGUGAUGACGACCGUCAGUUCGUAAAAACAUGUUAUUAGGUAAGAACAAAUUUGUAAUUAACCAAGAACUUCUUGACGGUACCGGAUAAGGAAGCACCGGCUAACUACGUG
rnacentral:rRNA from 1 species